rnacentral:rRNA from 1 species
UACGAAGGGGGCUAGCGUUGCUCGGAAUCACUGGGCGUAAAGCGCACGUAGGCGGCUUUCUAAGUCAGGGGUGAAAUCCUGGAGCUCAACUCCAGAACUGCCUUUGAUACUGGGAAGCUUGAGUCCGGAAGAGGUGAGUGGAACUCCGAGUGUAGAGGUGAAAUUCGUAGAUAUUGGGAAGAACACCGGUGGCGAAAGCGGGAUCCUGGGCCAGUACUGACGCUGAGGAGCGAAAGCGUGGGGAGCAAACAGG